CGUCGUUGUUUAAUAGGCAGUAGUAUUUUAGUAUAUAUGUACUUUAUUUCAAUGGCGUUUUUGUUGAAAACAACGUCGUCUUCCCAUUACAACAAUGGGUUUAAUAGACACCAUCGUUGAUCUGGAUUAUCCAACGUGGGUUUUAUAACCACUGUCUUUGUAUGCUGCACACCAGCAGUGUCGUCGACCAUUCUCCAUCACUGUCGUGGGUCAUUUUCCAUCUCUAAGUUGGUCUCGUCGUGCAACAGACCAUCAACCAUCUAGCAAUUCUUCCUUCCAGAAUAUUCAUGCUUUCUAUCGGGUGCACUCAUGCUUUGUAUCAUGGAUGUCCUCUAGGCCAUGGUUUUCAAAAGUUCAUUCAGCAUAUGGAGAUUCUAAAUCCAUUAUUCUAGAGGAGGAGAAUGAGAAAAGGAAAUUACAGAAGACAGGUCUGCUUCAACUGAUAAAUCAUUUGAAAGAUUAAAUGCCAGUGGUCUCUAGGAAUCUCGUUUGGCUUCAUCUUCAACAUUGAAGAGAAUGUCCCCUUAUGACUCCUUUGUUAUUGAGGCUUAUCCCUGAAAAUUAAGGGAUGUUGAGAAUAUGGGUGAGUGUGAAAGGUUCAAAGCUGUAACCACAACCCCCUUGCUGCAAAAGGUAGAUGUUGUUGCUUACCCACACAAUAUUAUGGGUGAAAAAUGCAUGCAUACUUCCUAUACUAAUGGUGCCAACCAAUAUUAUGAAACAAGAAAGGAGAAUCCUUGUACUGUUUCAACACACUUUCUUGAGAAAAUUGAAGAACCUGAUUAUUCUUGUAGUGAUCAGAGUUCAGUUGGCAAUUGUAAUGUGAUAAGUAGUAACUCAAAUAAAUUAUUCUUGUAGUUUUGAAUAAUUCUUUUUUCUUAAUAUUUCUAUAUUGGGGAAAUUAUGUUGCUAUACUCAUUAUGAAUAUAUCAAGUUAUGAUGCU